rnacentral:rRNA from 1 species
UACGUAGGGUGCGAACGUUGUCCGGAAUUAUUGGGCGUAAAGAGCUCGUAGGCGGCUUGUCGCGUCGUCCGUGAAAACUUGUGGCUUAACCACAGGCUGGCGGUCGAUACGGGCAGGCUGGAGUUCGGGUAGGGGAGACUGGAGUUCCUGGUGUAGCGGUGAAAUGCGCAGAUAUCAGGAGGAACACCGGUGGCGAAGGCGGGUCUCUGGGCCGAUACUGACGCUGAGGAGCGAAAGCGUGGGGAGCGAACAGG